GCCGCCUUAGAUCAGUGGUAGAUCGUUUGUCUUGUAAACAAAAGGUCGCUAGUUCGAGUCUGGCAGGUGGCA
rfam:Botryobasidium botryosum FD-172 SS1 unplaced genomic scaffold BOTBOscaffold_2, whole genome shotgun sequence.